GACGAACGCUGGCGGCGUGCCUAAUACAUGCAAGUCGAGCGGGCCUCCGGAGGUGCUUGCACCUCCGGAAGGCCAGCGGCGGACGGGUGAGUAACACGUGGGCAACCUGCCUUUGAGGCCGGGAUAACACCGGGAAACCGGUGCUAAUACCGGAUGCGUCCCCUUUCGCGCCUGCGAGAGGGGAGAAAGACGGUCUUUAAGGCCGUCGCUCAAAGAGGGGCCCGCGGCGCAUUAGCUGGUUGGUGGGGUAAGGGCCUACCAAGGCGACGAUGCGUUGCCGACCUGAGAGGGGGAGCGGCCACACUGGGACUGAGACACGGCCCAGACUCCUGCGGGGGGCAGCAGUAGGGAAUCAUCCGCAAUGGGCGAAAGCCUGACGGUGCAACGCCGCGUGAGUGAGGAAGGUUUUCGGAUCGUAAAGCUCUGUUGUGAGGGAAGAACAGCUUCCGGAGGAAAUGCCGGAGGUUUGCCGGUACCUCACCAGAAAGCCCCGGCUAACUACGUGCCAGCCGCCGCCGUAA
rnacentral:rRNA from 1 species